UACAGAGACUGCAAGCGUUAUUCGGAUUCACUGGGCGUAAAGGGUGCGCAGGCGGUUGUGUCGUGUCAGGUGGUGAAAGCCCGGGGCUUAACCCCGGAAUUGCGCCUGAACUACAUGACUAGAGCAGUUGGAGAGGGUAGCGGAAUUCACGGUGUAGCAGUGAAAUGCGUAGAUAUCGAUGAGGAACACCAGGAGGCGAAGGCGGCUACCUGGACAAUUGCUGACGCUCGAGGCACG
rnacentral:rRNA from 1 species